UUUUGUUUAUUUUUCAUUUGAGCUAUUUUUUCUGUUUAUUGGGUUUUGUCUUUAUCUGUUUUAAUACAUCUUAGUAAUUAUCUUAGUAUUUUAGCGGGUUUUUUUAUAUUUAUUAUUUUAGCUGUAAUUGUUUUUUGUUGGUCAAGGAAGCAAAUUUAUGGAUUCAGAUUACAGGGUUAUUUGAGCUUUGUUGUUGUAUGAAGUAAGAUAUGGUUAGGGUUUUUAUUUGGUUUUUUAAUGAAAGGUUUAAGCUUUUUGAUUAUUGGUUGUGAUGAACAAAAAUUGGAGAAAUGGGUUGGUCUUGGAUAAUGGUUAUGAGAGUAUAGAUUUUGAUGUUGUUAUGAUUUAAUGGAGCUGGAGAACUUUGGAAGAUCAUGUUAGUGGUCCAGUACUAUGUUGGUUUGAGUGAGUUUGUGGAUCUGAAGCUACUGGGAAAAGUAUUUGUUAUCACAGUUUUUAUCUGAAUAUAUUGGACAGGUGGAGAUGAACAAUUUGCUUGGUUCUGAUCAUUUUCACAUUCUUGGUUCUUCAUAAAGUUCAAAUUCUAGGCAAUAGAAUCUUGUGUGAGAUAUUGACUUUAAUGGUUUGAGUUGUGUUGUCAAGCCUCUGUUGGUGGGUUGAAUAAAGCCGCUGUUAAGUUUGUUUUCGGACAUUUGUCUGUUUUUGGAACUCUGAGGGGGUUGUUGUCUUUGUAUGUCUCCAAUUUUCUGAAGCUAUUAUUAAAUUUAUUCUCUUAUUUCUUUGUUUAUGCAGAAAGUUUUUUGUGUAUGCAGUUUGGUGCUUUUGGGUUUUCUAAUUCAGUUCAUGCAUAGAACUGUUUCACUGGCCUAUCAUUUUCCUGAUUUUUGUCUGAACUAUGUGUGUUCUACUUGGAUGGAUAUAUAGGAAAGUUUGCACAGCUAGCUGUUGCUAGUAUUUCAAGGUGCCAGAAGAUGGGGUCUAAUUUCAACUUCAAGAACUUUGGUGAUGCACCACCUGGGGAAGGCAAUGGUGGGAAGGCAGCAGGAAAUUUUACGUUGGCCCGGCAGCCUUCCGUAUACUCUCUGACGUUCGAUGAGUUCCAGAACACCAUAGGUGGACUUGGAAAGGAUUUUGGAUCUAUGAACAUGGAUGAACUUUUGAAAAAUAUAUGGACUGCUGAAGAGACUCAAGGCGUGACAUCUACUUCUGGGGCUGGAGAAGGAAGUGCUCCUGGGGGUAAUUUGCAGAGACAAGGGUCAUUAACUUUGCCACGAACACUUAGUCAGAAGACAGUUGAUGAGGUUUGGAAAGACUUGAUUAGAGAGACAAGUGAUGCUAAAUAUAAUACUGUUGCUAUGGGUUCAAAUUUGCCACAGAGACAACAAACUUUGGGAGAGAUGACUUUGGAGGAGUUUUUGGUGAGAGCAGGGGUUGUGAGAGAAGAUGUCCAACCAGUUGUAAGGCCUAAUAAUAGUGGAUUCUAUGGUGAAUUAUACCGUCCAAAUAACCACAAUGGUUUAGCUCCCGGAUUUCAACAACCAAGUCGAACCAACGGUCUUUUAGGUAAUCGAGUUGCAGAUAACAAUAAUUCGGUUCUUAAUGUUGGUGGAGUUAGAUCUUCUCAGCAACAAACACAGCAGCUGCCCCCACAACAGCAGCCACUCUUCCCCAAGCCUACAAAUGUAGCGUUUGCCCCUUCUAUGCAUUUAACAAACAAUGCUCAGUUAACAAGCCCAAGAACCAGGGGACCAAUGACUGGGGUUGUGGAACCUUCUAUGAACACUGUUUUCACUCAAGUUGGUGGGUUUCCAGGUGCAGGAAUUGGAAUGACUGGUUUAGGUACUGGGGGCGGUGCAGUUGCAGCAAGAUCUCCCACAAAUCAGAUAUCACCGGAUGUGAUUGCUAAGAGCAGUGGGGAUACAUCGUCGUUGUCACCAGUUCCUUACAUGUUUAGCCGGGGAAGGAAGUCCAAUGGAGCUUUGGAGAAAGUAGUUGAGAGAAGGCAAAGGAGAAUGAUAAAAAACAGAGAGUCUGCUGCAAGGUCCCGAGCUCGUAAACAGGUGACUACAUUGGUUAUGCUGCCAUCAUACAUUAUUCAUCUGCCUAUACCUUGGAACUAGAGGCAGAAGUUGCAAAACUUAAAGAAAUGAAUGAAGAAUUACAGAGAAAACAGACAGAAAUAAUGGAAAUGCAGAAAGAUCAGAUUUUGGAGACAGUGAAGCGGCAAAGGGGAGGUAAAAGGCAAUGCUUACGACGGACAUUGACCGGCCCUUGGUAACUUGGAUGAAGUUGGACUGCAGAUGUAAGAUGAGUGCUUGAUUUGCAAACAUAUAGGUAGUAUGGUACAAAGAUUGGAGCUUGUAUCUGUUAUCUGAAUCCAAUCUUAUAUUAGAAAGAGUAGGUAGCUGUCUGUAUAGGAGAGGAGUGGUUGAGUUGUAAAUUACAAACUACGGUCUCAUCUUGUAUAUUAAACUUUUGUACUGGUAUGAUCGCUGUUUGCUUCUCAUUUUGAUUGCAGAGAGAGUCUAGGAUAAUUGAGCAAGUCAUGUGUAAACUAUUUUAGUAUUGUCCAUCUAAAUAAUUAAUACAUUUCUGCCCUUCAUAAACUUUUAUUUUCA